GAAGGUGGCCUGUGAGGGUUGCUGGAGGUAUCAGAAGUGCGAAUGCUGACAUAAGUAACGAUAAAGCGGGUGAAAAGCCCGCUCGCCGGAAGACCAAGGGUUCCUGUCCAACGUUAAUCGGGGCAGGGUGAGUCGACCCCUAAGGCGAGGCCGAAAGGCGUAGUCGAUGGGAAACGGGUUAAUAUUCCCGUACUUGGUGUUACUGCGAAGGGGGGACGGAGAAGGCUAUGUUGGCCGGGCGACGGUUGUCCCGGUUUAAGCGUGUAGGUGUGUGUUCCAGGUAAAUCCGGUUCACUUUAACACUGAGGCGUGAUGACGAGGCACUACGGUGCUGAAGCAACAAAUGCCCUGCUUCCAGGAAAAGCCUCUAAGCAUCAGGUAACAUCAAAUCGUACCCCAAACCGACACAGGUGGUCAGGUAGAGAAUACCAAGGCGCUUGAGAGAACUCGGGUGAAGGAACUAGGCAAAAUGGUGCCGUAACUUCGGGAGAAGGCACGCUGACAUGUAGGUGAAGUGAUUUACUCAUGGAGCUGAAGUCAGUCGAAGAUACCAGCUGGCUGCAACUGUUUAUUAAAAACACAGCACUGUGCAAACACGAAAGUGGACGUAUACGGUGUGACGCCUGCCCGGUGCCGGAAGGUUAAUUGAUGGGGUCAGCGCAAGCGAAGCUCCUGAUCGAAGCCCCGGUAAACGGCGGCCGUAACUAUAACGGUCCUAAGGUAGCGAAAUUCCUUGUCGGGUAAGUUCCGACCUGCACGAAUGGCGUAAUGAUGGCCAGGCUGUCUCCACCCGAGACUCAGUGAAAUUGAACUCGCUGUGAAGAUGCAGUGUACCCGCGGCAAGACGGAAAGACCCCGUGAACCUUUACUAUAGCUUGACACUGAACAUUGAGCCUUGAUGUGUAGGAUAGGUGGGAGGCUUUGAAGUGUGGACGCCAGUCUGCAUGGAGCCGACCUUGAAAUACCACCCUUUAAUGUUUGAUGUUCUAACGUGGACCCGUGAUCCGGGUUGCGGACAGUGUCUGGUGGGUAGUUUGACUGGGGCGGUCUCCUCCUAAAGAGUAACGGAGGAGCACGAAGGUUGGCUAAUCCUGGUCGGACAUCAGGAGGUUAGUGCAAUGGCAUAAGCCAGCUUGACUGCGAGCGUGACGGCGCGAGCAGGUGCGAAAGCAGGUCAUAGUGAUCCGGUGGUUCUGAAUGGAAGGGCCAUCGCUCAACGGAUAAAAGGUACUCCGGGGAUAACAGGCUGAUACCGCCCAAGAGUUCAUAUCGACGGCGGUGUUUGGCACCUCGAUGUCGGCUCAUCACAUCCUGGGGCUGAAGUAGGUCCCAAGGGUAUGGCUGUUCGCCAUUUAAAGUGGUACGCGAGCUGGGUUUAGAACGUCGUGAGACAGUUCGGUCCCUAUCUGCCGUGGGCGCUGGAGAACUGAGGGGGGCUGCUCCUAGUACGAGAGGACCGGAGUGGACGCAUCACUGGUGUUCGGGUUGUCAUGCCAAUGGCACUGCCCGGUAGCUAAAUGCGGAAGAGAUAAGUGCUGAAAGCAUCUAAGCACGAAACUUGCCCCGAGAUGAGUUCUCCCUGAGACUUUAAGUCUCCUGAAGGAACGUUGAAGACGACGACGUUGAUAGGCCGGGUGUGUAAGCGCAGCGAUGCGUUGAGCUAACCGGUACUAAUGAACCGUGAGGCUUAACCUUACAACGCCGAAG
rnacentral:rRNA from 1 species